GAUGAACGCUGACAGAAUGCUUAACACAUGCAAGUCUACUUGAAUUUGGGUUUUUUAACUUAGAUUUGGGUGGCGGACGGGUGAGUAACGCGUAAAGAACUUGCCUCACAGCUAGGGACAACAUUUGGAAACGAAUGCUAAUACCUGAUAUUAUGAUUUUAAGGCAUCUUAGAAUUAUGAAAGCUAUACGCGCUGUGAGAGAGCUUUGCGUCCCACUAGCUAGUUGGAGAGGCAACGGCUCACCAAGGCGAUGAUGGGUAGCCGGCCUGAGAGGGUGAACGGCCACAAGGGGACUGAGACACGGCCCUUACUCCUACGGGAGGCAGCAGUCGGGGAAUAUUGGACAAUGGACCAAGAGUCUGAUCCAGCAAUUCUGUGUGCACGAUGACGUUUUUCGGAAUGUAAGGUGCUUUCAGUUGGGAAGAAAAAAAUGACGGUACCAACAGAAGAAGUGA
rnacentral:rRNA from 1 species